UUGGAGGAAUGUAUAGCAAUAGCUAUUUGCACUAAAAAUUUUAGUGUAAAAUCGACUUUGUCGCAUAAAAUUCUGGAUAGAAUUAUGAUAAUGACAUUAUCUGUCCAUAAGUCUUGACCAAAUUACGUGCCAGCAGUCGCGGUAAUACGUAGAAGACAAGUGUUAUUCAUCUUUAAUAGGUUUAAAGGGUACUUAGACGGUAAAUAAAGCCUCCAAAAGGUACUAGUUUGCUAGAGUUUUAUAUGAAGGAGUUUUAAAGUACUACUGGUGUAGAGAUGAAAUUCAGUUAUACCUUACAUGGCACAGGUUAAGGCGAAAGCAUCUUCUUAUGUAAAAACUGACGUUGAAGGACGAAGGCUUUGUGUCUCGAACAGGAUUANAUACCCUAGUAGUCUAAGCAGAAAAUGAUGAAUGUCAUAGAUUAGAUUUAAUUUGAUCUGUAAAUGAAAGUGUAAGCAUUCCACCUCAAGAGUAAUUUGGCAACAUUGGAACUGAAAUCAUUAGACCGUUUCUGAAACCAGUAGUGAAGUAUGUUGUUUAAUUUGAUAAUCCGCAAAAAACCUUACCACAAUUUGAAUAGAUAUAUUUUAUCAUACAAGCGUUGCACGGCUGUCUUCAGUUAAUGUCGUGAGACUUUGGUUAGUUCCAUUAAAUUAACGUAAACCCUUACUUUAUUUUUAAAAAAAGUAGUUCACCGCUAGAUGGANGUGAUAAUAGGAUCAAG
rnacentral:rRNA from 1 species